rnacentral:rRNA from 1 species
UGGGCAACCUGCCCCUAGCUCUGGGAUAACUCCGGGGAACCGGGGCUAAUACCGGAUAUGACCACGGUGGACAUCCACUGUGGUGGAAAGCUCCGACGGCUAGGGAUGGGCCCGCGGCCUAUCAGCCUGUUGGUGGGGUAACGCCCCACCAAGGCGACGACGGGUAGCCGGCCUGAGAGGGCGACCGGCCACACUGGGACUGAGACACGGCCCAGACUCCUACGGGAGGCA